AGUGAACGCUGGCGGCAGGCUUAACACAUGCAAGUCGAACGAGUGGCGGACGGGUGAGUAAUGCUUGGGAAUCUGGCUUAUGGAGGGGGAUAACUACUGGAAACGGUAGCUAAUACCGCAUACCAUCGGAUGUGCCCAGAUGGGAUUAUCUAGUAGGGGGGGUAAAGGCUCACCUAGGCGACGAUCCCUAGCUGGUCUGAGAGGAUGGCCAGCCAAACUGGAACGGAGACACGGUCCAGACGCCUACGGGAGGCAGCAGUGGGGAAUAUUGCACAAUGGGCGCAAGCCUGAUGCAGCCAUGCGGCGUGUAUGAAGAAGGCCUUCGGGUUGUAAAGUUCUUUCGGUAGCGAGGCGUUAACGACAGAAGAAGCACCGGCUAACUCCGUGCCAGCAGCCGCGGUAAUAC
rnacentral:rRNA from 1 species